rnacentral:rRNA from 1 species
GACGAACGCUGGCGGCGUGCUUAACACAUGCAAGUCGAACGAUGAAGCCGGAGCUUGCUCUGGUGAAUUAGUGGCGAACGGGUGAGUAACACGUGAGUAACCUGCCCUUGACUCUGGGAUAACUGCGGGAAACUGUAGCUAAUACCGGAUACGACCCUCGGAGGCAUCUCCUGGGGGUGGAAAGAAUUUCGGUCGAGGAUGGACUCGGCGGCCUAUCAGCUAGUUGGUGAGGUAAAGGCUCACCAAGGCGACGACGGGUAGCCGGCCUGAGAGGGUGACCGGCAACACUGGGACUGAGAAACGGCCCAGAAUCCGACGGGAGGCAGCAGUGGGGAAUAUUGCACAAUGGGCGCAAGCCUGAUGCAGCAACGCCGCGUGAGAGAUGACGGCCUUCGGGUUGUAAACCUCUUUUAGCAGGGAAGAAGCGAAAGUGACGGUACCUGCAGAAAAAGCACCGGCUAACUACGUGCCAGCCGCCGCGGUAA